AGCAGCAUGGCGCAGCUGGAAGCGCGCGGGGCCCAUACUUUCGGUGUAACCCCGAGGUCACUUGAUCGAAACAAGUUGCUGCUA